CUCGUAGGCGGUUCGUCGCGUCCGGCGUGAAAGUCCAUCGCCUAACGGUGGAUCUGCGCCGGGUACGGGCGGGCUGGAGUGCGGUAGGGGAGACUGGAAUUCCCGGUGUAACGGUGGAAUGUGUAGAUAUCGGGAAGAACACCAAUGGCGAAGGCAGGUCUCUGGGCCGUUACUGACGCUGAGGAGCGAAAGCGUGGGGAGCGAACA
rnacentral:rRNA from 1 species